rnacentral:rRNA from 1 species
AGCUGAUGGAGCACGCCGCGUGUGUGAUGAAGGGUUUCGGCUCGUAAAACACUGUUGUAAGAGAAGAAUGACAUUGAGAGUAACUGUUCAAUGUGUGACGGUAUCUUACCAGAAAGGAACGGCUAAAUACGUGCCAGCAGCCGCGGUAAU